rnacentral:rRNA from 1 species
GGGAUAACACUUGGAAACAGGUGCUAAUACCGCAUAACCAUAGUUACCGCAUGGUAACUAUGUAAAAGGUGGCUAUGCUACCGCUUUUGGAUGGGCCCGCGGCGCAUUAGCUAGUUGGUGGGGUAAAGGCUUACCAAGGCAAUGAUGCGUAGCCGAACUGAGAGGUUGAUCGGCCACAUUGGGACUGAGACACGGCCCAAACUCCUACGGGAGGCAGCAGUAGGGAAUCUUCCACAAUGGGCGAAAGCCUGAUGGAGCAACGCCGCGUGGGUGAAGAAGGUCUUCGGAUCGUAAAACCCUGUUGUUAGAGAAGAAAGUGCGUGAGAGUAACUGUUCACGUUUCGACGGUAUCUAACCAGAAAGCCACGGCUAACUACGUGCCAGCAGCCGCGGUAAUACGUAGGUGGCAAGCGUUAUCCGGAUUUAUUGGGCGUAAAGGGAGCGCAGGCGGUCUUUUAAGUCUGAUGUGAAAGCCUUCGGCUUAACCGGAGUAGUGCAUUGGAAACUGGGAGACUUGAGUGCAGAAGAGGAGAGUGGAACUCCAUGUGUAGCGGUGAAAUGCGUAGAUAUAUGGAAGAACACCAGUGGCGAAAGCGGCUCUCUGGUCUGUAACUGACGCUGAGGUUCGAAAGCGUGGGUAGCAAACAGGAUUAGAUACCCUGGUAGUCCACGCCGUAAAC